GAUGAACGCUGGCGGCGUGCCUAAUACAUGCAAGUCGAGCGAACAGAUGAGGAGCUUGCUCCUCUGACGUUAGCGGCGGACGGGUGAGUAACGCGUGGAUAACCUACCUAUAAGACUGGGAUAACUUCGGGAAACCGGAGCUAAUACCGGAUAAUAUAUUGAACCGCAUGGUUCAAUAGUGAAAGACGGUUUUGCUGUCACUUAUAGAUGGAUCCGCGCCGCAUUAGCUAGUUGGUAAGGUAACGGCUUACCAAGGCAACGAUGCGUAGCCGACCUGAGAGGGUGAUCGGCCACACUGGAACUGAGACACGGUCCAGACUCCUACGGGAGGCAGCAGUAGGGAAUCUUCCGCAAUGGGCGAAAGCCCGACGGAGCAACGCCGCGUGAGUGAUGAAGGUCUUCGGAUCGUAAAACUCUGUUAUUAGGGAAGAACAAAUGUGUAAGUAACUAUGCACGUCUUGACGGUACCUAAUCAGAAAGCCACGGCUAACUACGUG
rnacentral:rRNA from 1 species